rnacentral:rRNA from 1 species
AACCAGUACCGUGAGGGAAAGGUGAAAAGCACUUCGAACAGAAGAGUGAAAUAGUCCCUGAACCCAUACGCCUACAAGCAGUCGGAGCCGCUUCGUGCGGUGACGGCGUGCCUUUUGCAUAAUGAGCCUACGAGUUAGUCGUCACCAGCGAGGUUAAGGGCUUCAGGCCCGUUAGCCGAAGUGAAAGCGAGCCUUAACAGGGCGUCGAGUUGGUGGCGCUAGACGCGAAACCUUGUGAUCUACCCACGAGCAGGUUGAAGUCGCGGUAACACGUGAUGGAGGACCGAACCGGUAAACGUUGAAAAGUUUUCGGAUGACUUGUGGGUAGGGGUGAAAGGCCAAUCAAACUGGGAAAUAGCUCGUACUCUCCGAAAUGCAUUUAGGUGCAGCCUCUGUUGUUUUGUUCUAGAGGUAGAGCUACUGAUUGGAUGCGAGGGCUUCACCGCCUAUCAAAUCCGGCCAAACUCCGAAUGCUAGAACAUGAAGACAGGGAGUGAGCCAGCGGGUGCUAAGGUCCGUUGACGAAAGAGGGAGAACUCAGACCAUCAGCUAAGGUCCCCAAUUAUAUGCUAAGUUGGAAUUAAAACGGGGUGGGACUGCUUAGACAGCUAGGAUGUUGGCUUGGAAGCAGCCAUUCAUUUAAAGAGUGCGUAACAGCUCACUAGUCGAGCGGUCCUGCAUGGAUAAUACGCGGGCAUAAGCAUAUAACCGAAGCUAUGGGAUUGUAGAUGAUACAAUCGGUAGGAGAGCAUUCCAUUCAGCAUAGAAGCAGUAUCGUGAGGUAUUGUGGAGCGGAUGGAAAAGCAAAUGUAGGCAUAAGUAACGAUAAUGCGGGUGAGAACCCCGCACGCCGAAAGAUCAAGGAUUCCCCGGCAAUGUCAAUCAUCCGGGGGUAAGUCGGAUCCUAAGGGUAAGCCGAGUGGCGAUCCCGAUGGCAAACAGGUUAAUAUUCCUGUACUGAUCAUAACUGCGAUGCAGCGACGCAGAGGUGACACUGCUGCGUACUGACGGAAUAGUACGUUGAAACCCGUAUUCUUUGAUACCGGUAGUGAAGCACGCCGGUAGAGAUGAAAGGUGAUAGUACCGCAAUGCUUCGGUUGCGCGGAUAAUGCAGGUAAGCUGACUGCCAAGAAAACCUGCUAAGCUUCAGGUAAUGAUCAUCCGUACUGUAAACGGACACACGUGAUCAGGUAGAAAAUACUAAGGCGCUCGAGAGAUUCAUGGUUAAGGAACUAGGCAAAAUGGUCCUGUAACUUCGGGAUAAAGGACGCUCUUGUGAAAGAGCCGCAGAUAAUAGGCCCAGGCGACUGUUUACCAAAAACACAUGGCUAUGCCAAAUCGAAAGAUGACGUAUAUGGCCUGACACCUGCCCGGUGCCGGAAGGUUAAGAGGAGAUGUCAUCCGCGAGGAGAAGCGUUGAAUUGAAGCCCCGGUAAACGGCGGCCGUAACUAUAACGGUCCUAAGGUAGCGAAAUUCCUUGUCGGGU